rnacentral:rRNA from 3 species
UUUUCUUAGUAGCGGCGAGCGAAAAGAAAUCAGUUCAGCACUAAGUCACUUUGUCUUUAUGGCAAAUGUGAGAUGCAGUGUAUGGAACGUCUACAAUCUAGUAUGAGAAAUUAAUGAUUUAAGUCCUUCUUAAAUGAGGCCAAUUACCCAUAGAGGGUGCCAGGCCCGUAUAACGUUAAUGAUUACUAGAAGGCGAUUCCAAAGAGUCGUGUUGCUUGAUAGUGCAGCACUAAGUUGGUGGUAAACUCCAUCUAAAACUAAAUAUGACCAUGAGACCGAUAGUAAACAAGUACCGUGAGGGAAAGUUGAAAAGAACUCUGAAUAGAGAGUUAAAUAGUACGUGAAACUGCUUAGAGGUUAAGCCCGAUGAACCUGAAUAUCCAUUAUGGAAAAUUCAUCAUUAAAAUUGUAAUAUCUUUACUUUUUUUUUUUUUAACAAAAAGAAAGAAAAUAUUAUAAUGAUAGUGUGCAUUUUUUCCAUAUAAGGACAUUGUAAUCUAUUAACAUAAUAAAAUAUUUAUCAAAAAGUCAUAAACAUAAAGUUUAUUUAAAUUAUUAUGCUUGCAUUUUAACAUAGAAUAAAUGUUAAUGAUUUGAUAAAGUGUUGAUAAAUUUAUCAUAUAUACAAUGCUUUAAUUUUUCGGAAUUAUAUAAUAGCAUAAUUAUCAAUGAUUUUUAUGUUUAUUAUAUGCAUUUGUAUGAUUAACAAUGCGAAAGAUUCAGGAUACCCUCGGGACCCGUCUUGAAACACGGACCAAGGAGUCUAACAUAUAUGCAAGUUAUUGGGAUUUUAUAAACCUAAUGGCAUAAUUAACUUAACUGUUUAAUAUAUGGGAUUAGUUUUUAAACUAUUUAUAGUUUAUUAACACAAUCCCGGGGCGUUCUAUAUAGUUAUGUAUAAUAAUAUUUAUAUUAUU